rnacentral:rRNA from 1 species
ACACCGGCAGCUCAAGUGGUAGCCGCUUUUAUUGGGCCUAAAGCGUCCGUAGCCGGUCUGAUAAGUCUCUGGUGAAAUCCCGCAGCUUAACUGUGGGAAUUGCUGGAGAUACUAUCAUGCCUCGAGGUCGGGAGAGGCUGGGGGUCAUCCCAGGGUAGGGGGGAAAUCCUGUAAUCCUGGGAGGACCACCUGUGGCGAAGGCGUCCAGCUGGAACGAACCUGACGGUGAGGGACGAAAGCCAGGGGCGCGAACCGGAUUAGAUACCCGGGUAGUCCUGGCCGUAAACGAUGUGGACUUGGUGUUGGGAUGGCUUCGAGCUGCCCCAGUGCCGAAGGGAAGCUGUUAAGUCCACCGCCUGGGAAGUACGGCCGCAAGGCUGAAACUCAAAUGAAUUGGCGGGG